rnacentral:lncRNA from 1 species
AUUGCAGGUGCAGAGGAAUAGCUCAUUCGAAUGAGCCCACAAAGCUCAUCCACUUACUGAACAGACUUUCCAAGGACAUGGCCUCCCACUGCCCAGACACUCCCUCUCAUGGCAAGGAGGCCAGGGAGCCACCGCAUCUGCCACAGAAGAUUCUUGGAUGCCUCAUCCCUGAACAUCCACUGACAGCGAAGAAUCAGACCCCAGCCCCAGGGGACAGCCUCGGCUGGCCACAGUAGUGCUGUCUGGCUCCAGGGAUCUGGACAGUGGCCUUCCUUCCUUCAGAGAACACCCCAAAAGCUCCUGCCUGGGGUCCAGACACCAGCUACUGGAGUCUCUCACCCUGGAGGCCCUCACCUGGAGACCCUCACCUGGAGGCCCUCACUUGGAGACCUUCACCUGGAGACCCUCAACUGGAGACUGUCACCUGGAGACCCUCACCUGGAAGCCCUCACCUGGAGGCUCUCACCUAGAGACCCUCACCUGGAGAUUCUCACCUGGAUACCCUGACCUGGAAGCCCUCAUCCAGAGGCUCUCACCUGGAGGCCUUCACUUUGAGACCUUCACCUGGAGUCUCUCACCUAAAGACCCUCUCCGGGAAGCCCUUCCUUGGAACCCCUCCCUGAUGACUGCUGAGUCCAGAGCCAGAGUCAGGUUUAUUCACAGGUAUUUGCCUUCAGGGAUGCUCUUUGAGGUAGCAAGGAUGUGAGUGGAAUGCCCUGAAAGUGGCAAAGGGGACAUGGGCAGUCUCAGGGGGUAACCUGGGAAAGCUUUCUAAGUAAGGUGGUGUUUGAACUGGGCUUCAAGGUACACAUAGGAGUUUUACAGGUGGACAGAAAGAAGGCCAAGGAGUUCCAGGCCGAGGAGGCCACAUGGGCAGGGAAGUGAGUUGCUUCACGACAUGCAGGGUGGGAGCACAAGGCUCAGACAGAGGCCUCCGAGAUGGAGAAGAAGGUAUCUGGCGUGCCCUGGGAUCAUGAUGGCAAGUGGGGGUGGGGGCUUUGCAGCUGUAUGUCAAGCGUGCCUGCUGUUUCUCCUUUCCUAAGGAAUGCUUGUACUCCCAGCUGCCACCUUCCUUCCUCUCUACUCUGAAAGGGUGUCCCAGGCUGCUCUCCAGCUCUGCAGGAGGAGGAUGGGAUGUCAGAUGGUCCAGGCUGGGUGCUGCGUCUGGGAGAAACAGGAUACCUGUGUAGGGAUGGGCAGGGGGAAGUGGGGAGUCUCAGGGGCUUCUAUGAAGGGGCCCUUUGGAUGAGAAGUGGGAGUCUGAUCCUUGUCCCUCUGAGAGCAUAGUGCUUAUCAGUAGCUGCUGGGACAGGUGGUGUGCUGACCCGUGGCAGUGGCGACCUCCAUAUCUCUCUGCCUGUCCAUCUUCUUACGCCUUAAACUCCGACGCUCAGGAAAUGGUGCAGCUACGUGUUCUGAAAUGGAGCCCGGCCUAGCCACGGUUCACUUCUCAGCCCUCCUAACGCAGAGGAAGAGUUACCCAGUCACAGUCAGAGAGCCUGACUCCAGCCUGCUCAAUGAGCCAGCGGGAGCUUGGCAGCCCAUUCUGAGACAGGUAAUGGGGAGGAGCAUUAGCACCGGGAGACCUUGGUAAUCACUCAGCUGGCCCCUGAUUUUACAGCUGAGGGAGCCUAGGUCCUUACCUCACACCCGAGAAAGGGAAAUUAUUACCAGAGUUAAAGCUUUCCAUUUUUGAUAUUUUAUAGCGAGCCAUUUUUAAGUAGAGUCUGGUGUCAGUCUUGAAGAGCUGAACACGCUCACUAGGAAAGGUGAUGAGUACUUAGGGCAGUGCUGGCUGAGCGGCACUUUUAAUCAAGGACUCCUGGGCCUCUUGCAUAAAUUCACUCCAAACCCAGUGCAUCACUCCUUCGUUCUCUGAGGACAGCGGCAACUUUGUCAUCUUUUGUUUCAAAGUGCAUAGUAUUUAGAUAGUCUAAAAUGUGCUCUGCAAAUACUUCCUUUUGGAAAUUUUGAUAAUAAAAGUUAUAAAACGCUAGAAGUGCAGUGGUUCUUCACUUUUUUUUUUUUAUAAUGGACCUCAGAGAUUGUGAGAAAAAUGAGAAUCUACCUAGUCAUACUCAUAGCAACAUGCAUAAAAUUGUGCUUUAUUGCAAUAGGCAUGAAUAUCUUUAAUAAAGACAAAU